UACGAAGGGGGCUAGCGUUGCUCGGAAUCACUGGGCGUAAAGCGCACGUAGGCGGCUUUUUAAGUCAGGGGUGAAAUCCUGGAGCUCAACUCCAGAACUGCCUUUGAUACUGGGAAGCUCGAGUCCGGGAGAGGUGAGUGGAACUCCGAGUGUAGAGGUGAAAUUCGUAGAUAUUCGGAAGAAACACCAGUGGCGAAGGCGGCUCACUGGCCCGGUACUGACGCUGAGGUGCGAAAGCG
rnacentral:rRNA from 1 species